CCGGGUUCGUGCGCAGACGGGCGCGUGCCGAGGGGGUGGCGGCUGUCCCGGGUUACGUAACUGUCCCCGCGGCCAGGCACGAGCGCCCUUUGGUCGCUGUAAGUGCAGCUACGCCGGGCCUGAAAUCGGCAACAUUCAGGCGCAGGUUAGGCCCAAGAAACCCUCCGGCUCUGGCUGCCCCCUGCGGGACUGGUUUGUAGCAGUGACCCAUGGGGAGAGCGCUGCCCCCCGCCCGCUGCCCCGUGCGAGGCAGUGAAACGGGAGCCUGCAGCAUGAGGGGCAGGGGAAGAACGAAGUUGAAGUCUUUAUUGUUGCAAAAGAGGAAAUUGGGGGAGAGUUUAACCAUUUGCGACAAAGACAAGGUGUUUAAGAGCUGAGAACCACAGUUAAUAGGAGACUUUCACAAGGUAUGUAAAUACAGUCUUGUGUCUGGUCAAUUUUCAAAUGUUACAUGUUUGCAAAUAAUAUGUGC
rnacentral:lncRNA from 1 species